GAGUUUGAUUAUGGCUCAGGAUGAACGCUAGCGGGAGGCCUAACACAUGCAAGCCGAGCGGGAUUUGUUGGUUAGCUUGCUAACUAAUAAUGAGAGCGGCGUACGGGUGCGUAACACGUGUGCAACCUGCCUUUAUCUGGGGGAUAGCCUUUCGAAAGGAAGAUUAAUACCCCAUAAUAUAUUAAUUGGCAUCAAUUGAUAUUGAAAGCUCCGGCGGAUAGAGAUGGGCACGCGUAAGAUUAGCUAGUUGGUGAGGUAACGGCUCACCAAGGCUGCGAUCUUUAGGGGGCCUGAGAGGGUGAUCCCCCACACUGGUACUGAGACACGGACCAGACUCCUACGGGAGGCAGCAGUGAGGAAUAUUGGACAAUGGGUGAGAGCCUGAUCCAGCCAUCCCGCGUGAAGGACUAAGGACCUAUGGUUUGUAAACUUCUUUUAUACAGGGAUAAACCUACUCUCGUGAGGGUAGCUGAAGGUACUGUAUGAAUAAAGCCCCGG
rnacentral:rRNA from 1 species